GGCGGCGUGCCUAACACAUGCAAGUCGAGCGAGGAGAUUCCUUCGGGAUGAUCCUAGCGGCGGACGGGUGAGUAACACGUGGGCAACCUGCCUCAUAGAGAGGAAUAGCCUUCCGAAAGGGAGAUUAAUACCUCAUAACAUUGCAGUUUCGCAUGGAACAGCAAUUAAAGGAGUAAUCCGCUAUGAGAUGGGCCCGCGGCGCAUUAGCUAGUUGGUGAGGUAACGGCUCACCAAGGCGACGAUGCGUAGCCGACCUGAGAGGGUGAUCGGCCACAUUGGGACUGAGACACGGCCCAGACUCCUACGGGAGGCAGCAGUGGGGAAUAUUGCACAAUGGGGGAAACCCUGAUGCAGCAACGCCGCGUGAGUGAUGACGGCCUUCGGGUUGUAAAGCUCUGUCUUCAGGGACGAUAAUGACGGUACCUGAGGAGGAAGCCACGGCUAACUACGUGCCAGCCGCCGC
rnacentral:rRNA from 1 species